rnacentral:rRNA from 1 species
UACGUAGGUGGCAAGCGUUGUCCGGAUUUACUGGGUGUAAAGGGUGCGUAGGCGGGGCAGCAAGUUGGAUGUGAAAUCCUCGGGCUCAACUCGAGAACUGCAUUCAAAACUGUUGCUCUUGAGUGCAGUAGAGGCAAGCGGAAUUCCCGGUGUAGCGGUGAAAUGCGCAGAGAUCGGGAGGAACACCAGUGGCGAAGGCGGCUUGCUGGGCUGUUACUGACGCUGAGGCACGAAAGCAUGGGUAGCAAAC